GACGAAGGGGGCUAGCGUUGUUCGGAAUUACUGGGCGUAAAGCGCGUGUAGGCGGUUGUCCAAGUUGGAUGUGAAAGCCUUGAGCUUAACUCAAGAAAUGCAUUCAGGACUGGAUGACUAGAGGACCGGAGAGGAUAGUGGAAUUCCCAGUGUAGUGGUGAAAUACGUAGAGAUUGGGAAGAACACCAGUGGCGAAGGCGGCUAUCUGGACGGUUUCUGACGCUAAGACGCGAAAGCGUGGGGAGCGAACGGG
rnacentral:rRNA from 1 species